AUCACCUGACCAGGCUAAUAAGAACAUUUUACAGGAUCUGGGAACUUUGUAGCUAAAAUGUUGACUACAAGACCCGUGCCUGGAAACUGCUGGUGUUCUUGGAUGUUAACUGGGAAAAGGUUUGAUGUUUAAAUGGCACCGCCAAGACACCUCAACUCAGCCUGGCGGUCAGGUAGCCUGGUCUGGAGCAGGCUAACUUAUGUGCUACUGUUUUUGUGAAACCGAAGGAUGCUUAAUUAAGCCAGAAUAUUC